rnacentral:rRNA from 1 species
GACGAACGCUGGCGGCGUGCUUAACACAUGCAAGUCGAACGGAAAGGCCCUGCUUUUGUGGGGUGCUCGAUUGGCGAACGGGUGAGUAACACGUGAGUAACCUGCCCUUGACUUUGGGAUAACUUCAGGAAACUGGGGCUAAUACCGGAUAGGAGCUCCUGCUGCAUGGUGGGGGUUGGAAAGUUUCGGCGGUUGGGGAUGGACUCGCGGCUUAUCAGCUUGUUGGUGGGGUAGUGGCUUACCAAGGCUUUGACGGGUAGCCGGCCUGGGAGGGUGACCGGCCACAUUGGGACUGAGAUACGGCCCAGACUCCUACGGGAGGCAGCAGUGGGGAAUAUUGCACAAUGGGCGGAAGCCUGAUGCAGCAACGCCGCGUGCGGGAUGACGGCCUUCGGGUUGUAAACCGCUUUCGCCUGUGACGAAGCGUGAGUGACGGUAAUGGGUAAAGAAGCACCGGCUAACUACGUG